ACGGGAGGCAGCAGUGAGGAAUAUUGGUCAAUGGGCGGAAGCCUGAACCAGCCAUGCCGCGUGAAGGAAUAAGGCCCUAUGGGUCGUAAACUUCUUUUGACGGGGAGCAAUAAGGUCUACGUGUAGGCCGAUGAGAGUACUCGUCGAAUAAGCAUCGGCUAACUCCGUGCCAGCAGCCGCGGUAAUACGGAGGAUGCAAGCGUUAUCCGGAUUUAUUGGGUUUAAAGGGUGCGUAGGCUGUUCGUCAAGUCAGGGGUGAAAUACCGGGGCUCAACCCUGGGGCUGCCUUUGAUACUGACGGGCUUGAAUACUGUUGCCGUGGGAGGAAUGAGUAGUGUAGCGGUGAAAUGCAUAGAUAUUACUCAGAACACCGAUUGCGAAGGCAUCUCACGAAGCAGCGAUUGACGCUGAGGCACGAAAGCGUGGGGAUCAAACAGGAUUAGAUACCCUGGUA
rnacentral:rRNA from 1 species